rnacentral:sRNA from 1 species
GAAGCCAGGCUCCAAACUCCCCUCCAA